rnacentral:rRNA from 1 species
GACGGAGGAUGCAAGCGUUAUCCGGAAUGAUUGGGCGUAAAGCGUCCGCAGGUGGCAGUUCAAGUCUGCUGUCAAAGACCGGGGCUUAACUUCGGAAAGGCAGUGGAAACUGAACAGCUAGAGUAUGGUAGGGGCAGAGGGAAUUCCUGGUGUAGCGGUGAAAUGCGUAGAGAUCAGGAGGAACACCUAUUGCGAAGGCAGCUCGCUGGGACGUAACUGACGCUGAGACGCGAAAGCGUGGGGAGCAAACAGG